rnacentral:rRNA from 1 species
UGGCGGAGGCUUACCAUGCAAGUCGAGCGGAGAGAGGUAGCUUGCUACUGAUCUUAGCGGCGGACGGGUGAGUAAUGCUUAGGAAUCUGCCUAUUAGUGGGGGACAACAUUUCGAAAGGAAUGCUAAUACCGCAUACGUCCUACGGGAGAAAGCAGGGGAUCUUCGGACCUUGCGCUAAUAGAUGAGCCUAAGUCGGAUUAGCUAGUUGGUGGGGUAAAGGCCUACCAAGGCGACGAUCUGUAGCGGGUCUGAGAGGAUGAUCCGCCACACUGGGACUGAGACACGGCCCAGACUCCUACGGGAGGCAGCAGUGGGGAAUAUUGGACAAUGGGCGCAAGCCUGAUCCAGCCAUGCCGCGUGUGUGAAGAAGGCCUUAUGGUUGUAAAGCACUUUAAGCGAGGAGGAGGCUACUUUAGUUAAUACCUAGAGAUAGUGGACGUUACUCGCAGAAUAAGCACCGGCUAACUCUGUGCCAGCAGCCGCGGUAAUACAGAGGGUGCAAGCGUUAAUCGGAUUUACUGGGCGUAAAGCGCGCGUAGGCGGCUAAUUAAGUCAAAUGUGAAAUCCCCGAGCUUAACUUGGGAAUUGCAUUCGAUACUGGUUAGCUAGAGUGUGGGAGAGGAUGGUAGAAUUCCAGGUGUAGCGGUGAAAUGCGUAGAGAUCUGGAGGAAUACCGAUGGCGAAGGCAGCCAUCUGGCCUAACACUGACGCUGAGGUGCGAAAGCAUGGGGAGCAAACAGGAUUAGAUACCCUGGUAGUCCAUGCCGUAAACGAUGUCUACUAGCCGUUGGGGCCUUUGAGGCUUUAGUGGCGCAGCUAACGCGAUAAGUAGACCGCCUGGGGAGUACGGUCGCAAGA